rnacentral:lncRNA from 1 species
GUCAAAAUGGUAUGUUUAUCUGUCAAUCUAAGUAUGCACAGGACCUUGUCAAGAAGUUUGGGAUGAAAACGGCCACUGCCUUCCCCACUCCCAUGAGCACCAGUUGUAAAAUCAGUGCUGACAUGUCUGGUAUUAAUGUGGACCAAACCAAUUAUAGGAGUAUGAUUGGAAGUCUUAUGUAUUUGACUGCUAGUAGACCAGAUAUUGCUUAUAGUGUUGGUGUAUGUGCUCGUUAUCAAGCUAAUCCAAAACAAUCUCAUGUCAAAGCAGUAAAGCGCAUAAUCCGAUAUGUUGCUGGAACCUUUGAUCAUGGAAUUAAGGACACGACACUAAUGUUGAGAUUGCAGGAUACACUGACUCGGACUGGGCUGGAGAUGCAAAUGACAGAAAAAGCACUUCCAGUGGCUGUUUCUUUGUAGGCAACAAUCUUGUUUCAUGGCAUAGCAAGAAGCAAAAUUGUACCUCCCUCUCUACUGCUUAAGCUGAGUAUGUAGCAGCUGGUAGUUGUUGCACACAACUCAUGUGGAUGAAACAGAUGCUUGCAGACUAUGGUUUCCAGCAAGGUACGUUAUCUCUUUUCUGUGAUAAUACCUCCGCCAUAAACAUCUCAAAGAAUCCAGUGUUGCAUUCUAGGACCAAGCAUAUAGAGAUAAAAUAUCACUUCAUUCGUAGCUUGGUUGAAGAGAAACUGCUUGAACUUACUUUCAUUCCAACUGAAAAGCAAUUAGCUGAUUUGUUCACUAAACCACUUGACAAUGCUAGGCAUUUGAGUUUGUGCAAGGCUAUAGGAUUGUGUGACAACAAGUAAACACUUCCCCUGCUAGUGUGUGUUCUGUUGGUGUAUAUAUGUGUUUUUUUUUUUAAAAAUGUUUUUGUUUCCAGUUCCUCUUUACAAGUUCAGGGAUAGAGGACCUUCUUGGUAUCCUUAGUCAGUUUCUGAACUUGACCUAGGUGACUAUUUGUACUUCCUUUCCUUGUUUCAGUCUUACUCUUCACAUAGGUGUGUGUACAUGUUCGGAUAUUGUCGUAUGUGGUCUGACCUUUAUUGCAAAUCUGCAGUAUCCUUAUGUGCACUAUUACUAAUCACUUUGGUUGCACUAAAGCUUGGGCUAUAUACUUGAGAUAAGAGUUCAUACUAAGGGAGAGUUUGCUUUCCAAACUAACCUCAAAGUAAACAUUCUUUGGUUGUGGUGAACAAUUUAAGGGUGAGCAGAAACGAGGUUGGUUUGAAGAUUGAGGUUCACAGAACUCAAUGAUCUAGGCUAAUCUCAAAGUACACAUUCCUUGGUGGUGAUGAACGAUAUAAGGGUGGGAAGAAACGAGAUUGGUUUAGAAUUAGGGCGUUCUGGUUAGAACAAAGUUAAAAAAAAAUUGGUUGACAAUCACAAAUGACUUCUUGAAUCAGCUAGUCCUCCACUUGUCUUGACAUGUAGUGGGGAUUUCUGAGAUGCAUUCUAUCCUUCGAUGGGUUCGGAUGAUGUGUCCAUAUGAGUGUCCUUGUUACACAUAUUGUCCAAGGUCAACUGAUCUUGUGAAGCAAUGACACAUUUUCUGCUACAUGAACCUAUGAGGACGAUUUCUCAGUUAAGGCUGUGAUAUUAAUGAUUGGACCAAAAUAAAGUCAUGGUUAAAAGUAGCCUCUGGACUUUAAAAUCAAAUUCUAGAGAGAUAAGGAUGGAAUGACCAGAUGAUAUCCCUGCAUGACAUGGCUCACAUUGACAAUAAAUACUUAGUUGAUGCCCUCAAGCUUAUCAAGCACCAUGUGCUUAUUAUCUCACUUACACACUCACUCUAAAGUGCUGCAAAUAAAAAUAGAGACCAUUGGGACUUGUCACUAUCACAAACCUAUGUGAUUUGCUUUUGUUUGAUCAAGGUUUGUUUGUUUGUUAUGAUAUGUCACCUUGUGAGUCUAUGCUUAAACUGACUUCAAAAAACCAAGGAUGCAAAUUGAAUGGUCUCUUUCCUUAAGGCUUGUUUGUGCAGUCCUUUUCUCUAAGAGUAUUCAUCAGAAACAAACAAUUUUUCGCUUUUUCUUAUGCACACUCUUAGGGGGAGUAUAGGCUUGAGUAGUUUUAUUCUUGGUUUCUGUUUUAUUUGCAUGUGCUUACGUGGUUGCUUCCAUGGGUUUUCAUUGGUCACUCUGAACGGUGGUGUUUUGUCACGUCUCAAAGCAUCAUCAUUGCAUGGUCUUGUAUAUUUAAUUCUUAUAGCCGUUUUGAGCAGUUGGGAUUAGUGGGCUUUAUAGUUUUCGAGACACUCUGAUCGUGUCCAACGCUUCCGCUCUCACUCUCUCUCUCUCUUUCUUAAUCCUGUCUUUCUCUCUUCUUCUUUAUCUUCUCGAAACCCACUCUUCUUUUUCUCUUCUAUGAGUUUCCUCCUCUCCCAUCCACCUUCCAACCUUCUCUCGGUUAACAAUGUCGAAAACUCCGGCUGGCCCUAAUUUUGUCAAUCUCGGUGAUGAACCCACAAUGAAGGAGCCUUUGAAUCUGUUGCCUCUUCAAGCUGAGGUGCCUUUCCCUGGCGGUCAAUCUCUAUUGCUCACUGCUACCCCUGGAGGCCCCUCCAUAGCUGACAAGCUUCAAGCUCUGAUGGACCCAAUCCCUGCUGACGGGUGCAAAACCUGCAUCAAAUAAACCCUUUUUAUCGUUAGUAGCAUUGAGUAAGUAGGGUAUCGUAUAGGGCCGGGGAUUGAGGGUACCUUGCAAAACAAAGCGUUAGAAAAACACAACAAAUAUUAACAAGUAAUAAAACAUUUAAACAAUUUACAAAAGUAGCUACUGUUCCAUAGAACAGCAGUCGAAAACCUAAUUAAAAACCUAACCUAAACUACUCAGAAAAAUAUGAAAAUUUACAGAGAUCUACUAGACACACAGAGGAACUACUGUACAAAUUUUCAGGGGAUUCGGAGAUCGUUUGAUACGAAAAUAAAAUAAAAGAAAACAGAGAACAGAAGAGUGACGAAAAUCCUAAACUAAAAAGAAACAAAAACCUAAGCUACUAUAUACAUGUGAUCGUCUCUUUGCACACAAGAAAACACUAAAUCAGAUUCAUAUAAUCAAGUAGCUNNNNNNNNNNNNNNNNNNNNNNNNNNNNNGACCCUUUCACGUCUCCAACUCCUCAUACAUAUAGAGAACAUAUGAACAGCUGCUAUUAGGGUUAGAGAACCUUUAAUUUUCGUCCAUGGGCUCGCCGUUGUGGUCUGGGCCUUGAAAUUGAAGUUCUGGUCCAAAUCAGAAAUUCGGGCAGACUGACCUUUGGUCACUCAAACGGUCAUAACUUGGUCACCAAAAUAGCUAUUGACGAUCUGUGAAAAGUUCUGAAAACUAGACUCUUCUAGCUUUCUACUGAUAUAAAGUUCAUCUCCUGGAUCGUUGUGAGCUGAUCACAAUUCUCUGUCGAAGUUGACUGACUAUUCCUGGCAGAUUUUCUGAUUUCUUUCCUUGCGCCAUAUGGAUUCCUUUUCCUUCAAGAUUUCUCCUCUUUUACCUCUUUUGUGCUCCUCGACUGACCUAAAAACACAAACUAAGUUAAAAUCAAUAUUGUUAAAGGAAUUACAUAACUAAAUAGGGUCGGAAAUACAUUAAGAACGUUGCAUAAAAUGCACCUAUCACCUGCUGGUGCGCUGGGUAAACGUCCCCACUCUCCCUCUGGUGAAACUUUGGUCAAGAUCGCCAAGCCAUCUAUCUCCAGUGGUGGUGGACCAUCCUCAGCAGUUCCCCCUUCUCCAGCCUCUUCGGUUAGGUCUCCAGUUAGGACUCCCUCUCCUUCUUCUGAGGGUGUAUGGACCGAGUUGCCUGAUCCAGUUCCUGAACCCAAAUCCAAGCGCUGCAUGUCCAAGCAUCGAGCGUCGAGGCCUGCCUCUCCUCCUAGGACCGAAGGGCCCUCUGUUCCCCCUGUCGCUCCUCUGUCUGGAAUGCCUAAGGAUCCUUCCUUUCUCAUUCCCCCUUCAUCCUCGAGCCCUAAUCCCUCAGAACGCUCCAAGCCGGCUCCGGUCUCUCGCAAUCUUCGUUAUGGGCCUCGAAAUGCUGUAGAUAGGGGCAAGGCUCCCUUGGCCGAACGUCGGGUCCCUCUUAAGAAAAGGUCUGGUGAGUCUGGUUCUACCAAUUUUCCUCCUAUGUCUCAUUUUGAGUCUGACUCCCUUCGUGAUCUUUUCAAUACCUUUGUGAUGGGUAAGAAAAUUGUGUAUGAAAGACCCCUAGCUUUAGACUCUUUUCAUCCUGAGAUUAGGAAACUUCUUCAGCAUUGGGGAUGGGAUCAAGUCUUAGAGUCCUUUCCUAAGGUUAAUAAGACUUGGGUUCAAGAGUUUUACACCAACUUUCCCCAACAAGCUCCUAAAAAGGUUAAGAUUCAGCGUCAAUCCCCUAUUGUUGUCCCGGUUCGGGGUAAGAAUGUAGAUGUCUCUCCUCCAGGGAUUCGUGCUAGUCUUUCUCUCCCCGAGACUGCACCGAAUGCCAUUCAGUUUGUCUUGGAAUUCAUUGACUCCAUUUCUCUUCAGGAUCUGGGUGUUGCUCUUUAUCAGUCUUCCUUUCCCAUUCCUGCCUUGACUACACCCCAUCUUUCUAGUCAGUUUAUGUCUGAACUUUUUAAGAUUUUAGGGUUUGUGGUGCGCUCUUUGCUUACUCCUACCACCAACACAGGCUGCUCUGAUUAAGUACUUGACCACGAGUCCCGUUAAACUAGCCUUUCCUGCCGAGUACUUUAUGUACAAAGCAAUUUGGUCUGCUGGUACUUCCCUUCGUGGUUCCAGCUCUCUGGUUUUUCCUGCUGUGAUUACAAAGCUCUGCUUAGAUGCUGGUGUUCCCACUAUAGAUGGUGAUGUGUUUGCUCAAGAGAAUGAAGCUGUUCCGGUUGACAAGCUGUCUUUGGCUAAAUCUGUUGGUCAAUUUGGUGAUGUGUAUAUUGAGCCCCUUGAGUCCACUUUGUUGAAGCAGGAAGUUAGGCAUCAGGUUUCCAGUGCAGUGGCUACCUUGUCCCAGUUGUUUGCUUCUCACCUUUCUAAACUGAUCCUGGAGCUGAAGGAGCUGAAAGAGUCUGUACGGUCUCAUCAGGCCUCUGCUAUCCCCUCUGCUGGGGCCCCUGUAACUGAUGUGGAAUCCUCCUCCGAGUCAGGAUCUGAGGAGACAUCUUCCAGUGAUGGAGAGGAAGCUAUUUAACUCUGUGUGUUCAUGGUGUUCUGUCUUGGUGAUCUGUUUUAUGUUUCUUCUAGUUUGUUUUCCAUUGUAGGUUUCUAUUUCUUUUAAAACCUCUCGGAUAUUUUAUUCUUUGUUUCCCUUUGGUAUUCCUUGCCAAAAAGGGGGAGAAUUAGUUAUAGGAUUUGCUGGUUGCUGGUUUAUGUUUGUAAGACAUUGUUGGUUUUUAUGGCUGAUCAAUACAAUGUUUUAUGACUGUUUAAUGCAAUAGUAACUUCUCAGUGUAAGUAUGCUAAUAACUCAGUUGUAGUUGCUGUGUUUUUUCACUUGUUCUUGAAGUUGUUUUCUGCAGGUUUAUUUUCCCUACAAAUGAAGUGUUUUGUGAAGGAAUGCCAAAGGGGGAGAUUGAAGGUAUAAGGAUAGUUGGCAAUCCUUUCAUCCUGCAAAACACUUUGAGAUAAUGUUAUCUGAUCAAGN